rnacentral:rRNA from 2 species
GGUUAAGCGACUAAGCGUACACGGUGGAUGCCCUGGCAGUCAGAGGCGAUGAAGGGCGUGCUAAUCUGCGAUAAGCGCCGGUAAGGUGAUAUGAACCGUUAUAACCGGCGAUACCCGAAUGGGGAAACCCAGUGUGAUUCGUCACACUAUCAUUAACUGAAUCCAUAGGUUAAUGAGGCGAACCGGGGGAACUGAAACAUCUAAGUACCCCGAGGAAAAGAAAUCAACCGAGAUUCCCCCAGUAGCGGCGAGCGAACGGGGAGGAGCCCAGAGCCUGAAUCAGCAUGUGUGUUAGUGGAAGCGUCUGGAAAGGCGCGCGAUACAGGGUGACAGCCCCGUACACAAAAGCGCAUGUGCUGUGAGCUCGAUGAGUAGGGCGGGACACGUGGUAUCCUGUCUGAAUAUGGGGGGACCAUCCUCCAAGGCUAAAUACUCCUGACUGACCGAUAGUGAACCAGUACCGUGAGGGAAAGGCGAAAAGAACCCCGGCGAGGGGAGUGAAAAAGAACCUGAAACCGUGUACGUACAAGCAGUGGGAGCACCCUUCGGGGUGUGACUGCGUACCUUUUGUAUAAUGGGUCAGCGACUUAUAUUCUGUAGCAAGGUUAACCGUAUAGGGGAGCCGGAGGGAAACCGAGUCUUAAU